GACGAACGCUGGCGGCGUGCCUAAUACAUGCAAGUAGAACGCUGAAGGAGGAGCUUGCUUCUCUGGAUGAGUUGCGAACGGGUGAGUAACGCGUAGGUAACCUGCCUGGUAGCGGGGGAUAACUAUUGGAAACGAUAGCUAAUACCGCAUAAGAGUAGAUGCUGCAUGACAUUUACUUAAAAGGUGCAAUUGCAUCACUACCAGAUGGACCUGCGUUGUAUUAGCUAGUUGGUGAGGUAACGGCUCACCAAGGCAACGAUACAUAGCCGACCUGAGAGGGUGAUCGGCCACACUGGGACUGAGACACGGCCCAGACUCCUACGGGAGGCAGCAGUAGGGAAUCUUCGGCAAUAGACGGAAGUCUGACCGAGCAACGCCGCGUGAGUGAAGAAGGUUGUCGGAUCGUAAAGCUCUGUUGUAAGAGAAGAACGAGUGUGAGAGUGGAAAGUUCACACUGUGACGGUAGCUUACCAGAAAGGGACGGCUAACUACGUG
rnacentral:rRNA from 1 species